AGAGUUUGAUCCUGGCUCAGAUUGAACGCUGGCGGCAGGCCUAACACAUGCAAGUCGAGCGGUAGCACAGAGAGCUUGCUCUCGGGUGACGAGCGGCGGACGGGUGAGUAAUGUCUGGGAAACUGCCUGAUGGAGGGGGAUAACUACUGGAAACGGUAGCUAAUACCGCAUAACGUCGCAAGACCAAAGUGGGGGACCUUCGGGCCUCAUGCCAUCAGAUGUGCCCAGAUGGGAUUAGCUAGUAGGUGGGGUAAUGGCUCACCUAGGCGACGAUCCCUAGCUGGUCUGAGAGGAUGACCAGCCACACUGGAACUGAGACACGGUCCAGACUCCUACGGGAGGCAGCAGUGGGGAAUAUUGCACAAUGGGCGCAAGCCUGAUGCAGCCAUGCCGCGUGUGUGAAGAAGGCCUUCGGGUUGUAAAGCACUUUCAGCGGGGAGGAAGGCGGUGAGGUUAAUAACCUCAUCGAUUGACGUUACCCGCAGAAGAAGCACCGGCUAACUCCGUGCCAGCAGCCGCGGUAAUACGGAGGGUGCAAGCGUUAAUCGGAAUUACUGGGCGUAAAGCGCACGCAGGCGGUCUGUCAAGUCGGAUGUGAAAUCCCCGGGCUCAACCUGGGAACUGCAUUCGAAACUGGCAGGCUAGAGUCUUGUAGAGGGGGGUAGAAUUCCAGGUGUAGCGGUGAAAUGCGUAGAGAUCUGGAGGAAUACCGGUGGCGAAGGCGGCCCCCUGGACAAAGACUGACGCUCAGGUGCGAAAGCGUGGGGAGCAAACAGGAUUAGAUACCCUGGUAGUCCACGCCGUAAACGAUGCCGAUUUGGAGGUUGUGCCCUUGAGGCGUGGCUUCCGGAGCUAACGCGUUAAAUCGACCGCCUGGGGAGUACGGCCGCAAGGUUAAAACUCAAAUGAAUUGACGGGGGCCCGCACAAGCGGUGGAGCAUGUGGUUUAAUUCGAUGCAACGCGAAGAACCUUACCUGGUCUUGACAUCCACAGAACUUAGCAGAGAUGCUUUGGUGCCUUCGGGAACUGUGAGACAGGUGCUGCAUGGCUGUCGUCAGCUCGUGUUGUGAAAUGUUGGGUUAAGUCCCGCAACGAGCGCAACCCUUAUCCUUUGUUGCCAGCGGUCCGGCCGGGAACUCAAAGGAGACUGCCAGUGAUAAACUGGAGGAAGGUGGGGAUGACGUCAAGUCAUCAUGGCCCUUACGACCAGGGCUACACACGUGCUACAAUGGCAUAUACAAAGAGAAGCGACCUCGCGAGAGCAAGCGGACCUCAUAAAGUAUGUCGUAGUCCGGAUUGGAGUCUGCAACUCGACUCCAUGAAGUCGGAAUCGCUAGUAAUCGUAGAUCAGAAUGCUACGGUGAAUACGUUCCCGGGCCUUGCACACACCGCCCGUC
rnacentral:rRNA from 1 species